CCUACGGGUGGCAGCAGUGAGGAAUAUUGGUCAAUGGGCGGAAGCCUGAACCCGCCAAGUCGCGUGAGGGAUUAAGGCCCUGCGGGUCGUCAACCUCUUUUGCCGGGGAGCAGUGGUCCGGACGCGUCCGGACCGGGAGAGUACCCGGAGAAAAAGCAUCGGCUAACUCCGUGCCAGCAGCCGCGGUAAUACGGAGGAUGCGAGCGUUAUCCGGAUUUAUUGGGUUUAACGGGUGCGUAGGGGGGCAUUUAAGCCGGCGGUCAAAUGUCGGGGCUCAACCCCGGCUUGCCGUCGGGACGGGGUGCUUGGAGUGGGCGGGAAGUAUGCGGAAUGCGUGGUGUAGCGGGGAAAUG
rnacentral:rRNA from 1 species